rnacentral:rRNA from 1 species
CCUACGGGGGGCUGCAGUCGAGAAUCAUUCACAAUGGGGGAAACCCUGAUGGUGCGACGCCGCGUGGGGGAAUGAAGGUCUUCGGAUUGUAAACUCUUGUCACGUGGGAGCAAAUUAAAAAGAUAGUACCACAAGAGGAAGAGACGGCUAACUCUGUGCAAGCAGCCGCGGUAAUACAGAGGUCGCAAGCGUUGUUCGGAAUCACUGGGCGUAAAGCGUGCGUAGGCUGUUUCGUAAGUCGUGUGUGAAAGGCGCGGGCUCAACCCGCGGACGGCACAUGAUACUGCGAGACUAGAGUAAUGGAGGGGGAGGCGGAAUUCUCGGUGUAGCAGUGAAAUGCGUAGAUAUCGGGAGGAACACUAGUGGCGAAGGCGGGUUCCUGGACAUUAACUGACGGUGAGGCGCGAAGGCCAGGGGAGCGAAAGGGAUUAGAUACCCAGGUAGUC